rnacentral:rRNA from 1 species
UACGAAGGGGGCUAGCGUUGCUCGGAAUCACUGGGCGUAAAGGGUGCGCAGGCGGGUCUUUAAGUCAGGGGUGAAAUCCUGGAGCUCAACUCCAGAACUGCCUUUGAUACUGAGGAUCUUGAGUUCGGGAGAGGUGAGUGGAACUGCGAGUGUAGAGGUGAAAUUCGUAGAUAUUCGCAAGAACACCAGUGGCGAAGGCGGCUCACUGGCCCGAUACUGACGCUGGGGCACGAAAGCGUGGGGAGCAAACAGG